AUUGAACGCUGGUGGCAGGCCUAACAAAUGCAAGUCGAACGGUAACAGGAAGCAGCUUGCUGCUUUGCUGACGAGUGGCGGACGGGUGAGGAAUGUCUGGGAAACUGCCCGAUGGAGGGGGAUAACUACUGGAAACGGUAGCUAAUACCGCAUAACGUCGCAAGACCAAAGAGGGGGACCUUAGGGCCUCUUGCCAUCGGAUGUGCCCAGAUGGGAUUAGCUAGUAGGUGGGGUAACGGCUCACCUAGGCGACGAUCCCUAGCUGGUCUGAGAGGAUGACCAGCCACACUGGAACUGAGACACGGUCCAGACUCCUACGGGAGGCAGCAGUGGGGAAUAUUGCACAAUGGGCGCAAGCCUGAUGCAGCCAUGCCGCGUGUAUGAAGAAGGCCUUCGGGUUGUAAAGUACUUUCAGCGGGGAGGAAGGGAGUAAAGUUAAUACCUUUGCUCAUUGACGUUACCCGCAGAAGAAGCACCGGCUAACUCCGUG
rnacentral:rRNA from 1 species